GUCCCUGUUGCGUAACGAAUAGCGCGUUGGACUUCUAAUCCAAAAGGCGUCGGUUUGAAUCCUACCUGGGAUG